UACGUAGGGGGCGAGCGUUGUCCGGAUUCAUUGGGCGUAAAGAGCUCGUAGGCGGUUUGGCAAGUCGGGUGUGAAAUCUCCGGGCUCAACUCGGAGAGGCCACUCGAUACUGCUAUGACUAGAGUCCGGUAGGGGACUAUGGAAUUCCUGGUGUAGCGGUGAAAUGCGUAGAUAUCGGGAGGAACACCUGUGGCGAAGGCG
rnacentral:rRNA from 1 species